GACGAACGCUGGCGGCGUGCUUAACACAUGCCAGUCGAACGGAAAGGCCCCCUUGUGGGGUACUCGAGUGGCGAACGGGUGAGUAACACGUGAGUAACCUACCCUUGACUUUGGGAUAACUUCAGGAAACUGGGGCUAAUACCGGAUAGGAGCUCCUGCUGCAUGGUGGGGGUUGGAAAGUUUCGGCGGUUGGGGAUGGACUCGCGGCUUAUCAGCUUGUUGGUGGGGUAGUGGCUCACCAAGGCUUUGACGGGUAGCCGGCCUGAGAGGGUGACCGGCCACAUUGGGACUGAGAUACGGCCCAGACUCCUACGGGAGGCAGCAGUGGGGAAUGUUGCACAAUGGGCGGAAGCCUGAUGCAGCAACGCCGCGUGCGGGAUGACGGCCUUCGGGUUGUAAACCGCUUUCGCCUGUGACGAAGCGUGAGUGACGGUAAUGGGUAAAGAAGCACCGGCUAACUACGUG
rnacentral:rRNA from 1 species